rnacentral:rRNA from 1 species
UACAGAGGGGGCAAGCGUUGUUCGGAAUUACUGGGCGUAAAGGGCGCGUAGGCGGCCUGCUAAGUCGAACGUGAAAUCCCCGGGCUCAACCCGGGAGCUGCGUCCGAUACUGGCAGGCUUGAAUCCGGGAGAGGGAUGCGGAAUUCCAGGUGUAGCGGUGAAAUGCGUAGAUAUCUGGAGGAACACCGGUGGCGAAGGCGGCAUCCUGGACCGGCAUUGACGCUGAGGCGCGAAAGCCAGGGGAGCAAACGGG